rnacentral:tRNA from 1 species
GCCGGGGUGGCGCAAUUGGCAGACGCAGCGGACUUAAAAUCCGCCGGAGUAAUCCUUGUGGGUUCGAGUCCCGCCCCCGGCACCA